rnacentral:lncRNA from 1 species
UCAACUUCAUGGAUAGUACUAGUCUCGGAGCGCAAAGGAGAUUGACAUCCAGAGGUUGAGUUAUGACCCGAUUGUGGGCUUGAAGAUCACCGCUUGGCUGGCUACUAGGCCCUACGGUGAUUUUGAUGAGUCAACCUUCUCUCCAGACUUCAAGGAGGUGCCUGCGGCUUUGGUUGAGGUGGUGGCUGCAGAGCCGCAACCAACGUAGAAUUCCAUGAGAGCGCCGCUAUGGAAGGCACAGGUGGCACCACUGAGGAAACUGUAUAACGUACCACUGUAAGGGGUGCAAGGACAGUCUGGAGAGGCUGUGGUGCUGUCCGAAAGGAUGUGAGAAAGGUCUGGACUGCUUGAAUUACGGUCGUCAGGUGUUGAACUUAUUGGAAGAGCUGACUGAAUUGAUCAGUCAUGAUUGACGCCAGUUGGGCUGGUUGUACCGACGGAGGGACAAUCGAUUGAGCCAGCAGAGGGAUUUUCGGUGCCAGUGGUUGAACUUGAUUGUCAGUCUGGCUGGCCGUCUGUCAGGAAGCGGCGGUAUUGAAAAGUUAGGAAGAUAUUUAUCUUUGAGCUAUGAAUGCGAAUAUGGCCUUCCUCUAUCUAUUGCUGCUUAAAUCGGUCGAGGUUGGAAGAUGGAUGCCUAAUAUUCAUGCAGGGAUGUAGGCACUGAAGUGAUCUGCAAGACAAGUUCCAAAUCGGAGGUUGUGGCCCAGACGAAGACCCUCCGACGCUCAAGUUAGAAAAGCUAAGAACAAAAGAGUAGCAACAGAUUCUCUGAGAGAGAUUUUAUUGGACUUAUCUGGGUUCUCGAGGCUCUGAUUAUUUAUAUAGAAGGAUGUUGGACAGCUGGAUUGUUAGAUGUGAGAUUGCACGAUCUCGAGAUUGUCGGACCAUUGGACAUAUCAAACAGGACGAGAUAAUUCAGCCCUUAAUCACUCUCGCGAGAUCAAAAGAGAUGGUUACGCC